GGUGGUGAUACAGGGUCCUGGUGAUCGCUGGAGGAUGGGCCUGACUCAUGGCGGCCAAGGCCGGCUGCUCUGAGAGAGCGCCGCAUCAUUUCUCUCAGCCGAAGCCUGAAGGCAACACAGACCCACGCAGACCGUAUGAAGACUGUUGCAGUCUUAGCCGGACAAUCUGCUGCUCCGCAGAGCGUUAUAGUCUGGCAAUGGCAGCAGACGGACGGGUGAGUCGAAAGUCAUCUGGUACAGUGGCCAAUUGGAAGAUGAAAUGCCAAACACUGAAUAGCGAUUAGUGGUCUUCCAGAGUUAAACGAUGCAGGAUAGUAAAGUCGAACUGUUGACGAACGCUUAAGACAGCAAGCUUACCCUCCUCCUCUUUGGUUUCCUUGUUACUAACAGGGAAGCACACAGAAACAGCAGCAUGAAGUAUGUUGCGGUUUCCAUCACAACGAUGUCCAAGAAGUGCACUCAGAGCAUGGCUGCCCUGAUCCAAUAGAAAGGCUUGUUCAAGAUUCACCAGCUCAUCUAUUCUAAGGAGCCUACAGUCCUGAAGCAGUGAAGAGGGGUCCGAAUCUGGGGGGGCAGUGGUGGUCUGGUUGCUCACGCUGCUUGAUGUCCCCGGAAAUUUCACUGCAACAUAUGCACCAUCCACUUUCAGCACCUAGGGCACAAAGUUAGAAUGGGAAUUUGUUAAACUGAACUUUAAUGGUGUAGAAACAUACAGACACAACCCACAGACAAGUGCUCUCAUUAGGUGCACGAUAUUAUUGUGCAUCUGGAAAGUAGUCACACCAUAGCCGUUCACUUUUUCCACACUAUAACUGUUACAGCCUUAUUCCAAAAUGGAUUUAAGCCCUACAAACACCCAUUAAUUAAUGACGAGGACAAUAUUUAGAUAUUUGUUUUUAAUAUGUGAAAAAUACAGGGAAAAAAAUAAAAUAAAAUCACAUUCACAUACUUACAGCGAUUGCUCAAUACUUGGUUGAUGCAACUAAGGCAGCAACUACAGGCGAGGCAGAGGCGCGCCUGUGGCAGGACUUUGAGGGCAUAUAGUUUCACAAGCCCCUGUCUCACCGCUCCUCUACGCUUGUUCAUGCAGAUAAAAAUAAGAAUAAAUAGCAGAAUUCCACUAAAUAGAGGUCUGGGAUCCCUAAUGAUACCUUUUUAUAUAACCAAGUCUAGUGCAGCAGUGUUUCAAACCAAGUAAACAAAAUAUUUUCACAGCAUGAGUGGUGCAGCACAAAAAGAUGCAAACAUUACAUUUAAAGAAAACUAAAAUCGAAAAAAAUAUAUAUAUUCCACCUACUCCUGUGACAAAACACAGAUCUUUAAUAGUACAUUUUUGGGGGGUUCAUGUGUGAACCAAUAGGUGCUGUUCAACCGGCUGUGGCUGUCUCAACAGAUGACAAGCAUUCUUUAAUCCUCAAGUCUUUUUCAUACCACCACUCAAACCCAAAAUGUUACAAACUAAACUAUUGCUGUUCCAUUUGGCAAUAUUGUACCUCAGAUUAAUUGUGUUGCUUUACGACCUGUAAAAAUGUCAUUAAAAUAUAUAUAUAUUUUUCAAAUUAGUUAUUUCAGAAGUGUGUAUCAAACUGGUAGCCCUUUGCAUUAACCAGUACCAAAAAAGUAGCUUUCAGUUUCAAAAAGGUUGGUGACACCUGCUCUAGGAAGAGUCCUUAUGGUUGCUAACUUCUUCCAUUUACAGAUGAUGGAGGCCCCAGUAGCUACUCACUGAGACCUUUGAAGCAGCCGAAUUUUCUGUGCCCUUAUAUGUGCAUCAACACAAUCCUGUCUCCGAGGUCGAUAGACAAUUCCUUUGACUUAGUGCUUAGUUUCUGCUCUGACCUGCACAGUCAACUUUGGGAACUUAUUUAGAAAGGUGUGUACCUUUCCAAAUCAUGCCCAAUCAACUGAAUUUACCACAGGUGGACUGCAAUUAAUAUUUAUAUAUAAAAAAAAAAAAAAAAUAAAAAAUAAAAAAAAAGCGUGACUUCUUGUGUUUUUUAUUAUUUUAUACAAUUGCAAAAGAAAGAAAAAGUUAAACCAUUAUAUUAGUAAAGCAUUAUGGGGUGCUGUGUUUAGACGUUUGAGGAAAAAAAAUAUUAAAAUCCAUUUUGGAAUAUGCUAUAACAUAAAAUGUGGAAAGAGUGAAGUGCUGUGAAUACUUUCCAGUCACUCUGUACGUGCAACGUUCAAUAGAUCACAACAUUUUAAGUACUGACCUUUCCCACAGGGACAUUUUUAACAUCCUCCACAAACACCACCUCUCGAAGAGGCCACUGCUCCUCAUUCAGUUUUUCCUCCUCCUUGGGGGCUGGGGUGGAGCGCCUUCGCUCUGCAAGUUUUACAUCAAAGUAAAUGUUAGUGCGUGCAGCAAAUUUAACCAAGACUUACAAUUAACUGAGGGAAAUUGUGCGAGUGUGAUGAUGUAAUGAUCCAAUGAUUGACAACAAAUGUUAUUUACAGUAUGUAGCAAACUGUGAGUGUGAUGAUGCAAUGAACGACUGCGAAUGUUUACAGUAUUUACAAUGUCUAUUUACAGUCUGUACGAACAAACAUGAUUUGUUUCCCCAUUAAUAAAAUGAUUUCAUGGCCAUUGAAGAAGUGUGGUAAUCCUGUGAAAAAGUGUCUGCCCCCUUCCUGAUUUUUUUUUUUUUUUUUUGCAUGUGUGUCAAGUUACAGAAAAAUGCAUCCAAACUAAUAGGGAGAAGUUUCAUCAUGCAACAAGACAAUGACCCAAAACACACUGCCAACACAACAAAGGACUUCAUCAGGGGGAAAAAGUGGAAGGUCUUAGCCUGGCCAAGUCAAUCACCGGACCUUAACCCAAUAGAGCAUGCAUUUUACAUCCUGAAGAGAAAAAAACAAGAACUGAAAGAGGUUGCAGUAAAGGCCUGGAAAACAAUUUCAAAUUAAGAAUACAAGUCUGGUGAAGUCAAUGGGUCGCAGGCUUAAUGCAGUUAUUGCAAAUAAGGGUUAUGCCACCAAAUAUUAAAUGUUAUUCACUAAGUUAAUUUAAUCAUGUCUGUUCCAGUACUUUUGCUCACUUGAAAAGUGGGUGGCUUCAAACAAAAGGUGCUUUGUCCUGAGUUGUUUAACACAUCUCGAUGUAAAUACCAUGAAAUGAAAGCUGGAAUUCUGAACUUGUGUCUCAUAUUCAUCUUUUGAUCUGAAACCCAAAUGUCUACAGUACUGAACAAAAACAAAGGAAUUGACCAUGCAGUUCCAAUACUUUUGGACAUUAUUUGUCCAAUAAAAUGAACACAUCACUUGCACACAAGA